AAAUGUGUGCGCUUACAAAUAGAACAAAUGUAUCCAAACCAAUCAAUAAAGUUAUUGAAAACUAAAGUGUGUUACUGUGUUCAAAUGAAGAAAUGAAAAUACAAGAGUUACUGACUUUAGAGUGUGGCCACGGGUUUGGCCAUCACAAUGUGCAGACUCCAGCUGUGGUAAUGUGGGCGGAUGAAGAUGGUCACUGAUGGACCUCCACCCCUGCCUUCUGGUCAUCUGUGUUACUGAUUAAGACUUACCUCUGCUCUCUGUGUGUGUGUGUGUGUGUGUGUGUGUGUGUGCAUGUGUAACAGUGCCCCAAGCAGAUUAGGGCACAGCAGGCGUGAUGCCAACUCAUGCAGCUUCUCCUUAGAAGUCACUCAGCGCCCCGUCCGUGUAGACAAAGAGCAAUAAUGGGAGAAAAAAAGACACAGACUAGGCUCCUCCAGGCAGACCCAUUGCUAACCAGCCUCUGAGUGCUGAAUGAGAAGGCAGACCCCCGCCAUGCCAGAUUCACCAGGUCUUUCUCCCAGUGAGAGCGAUGAUUCAGCUUCUCAUCUGGGUCCUGUGCCAGUAUAGCAUUUACUAGCAGAUGGAUAAACAGGUUUGGAAAUCCCCUCCCUGUACUAAGUGUUCUAGGUUUCCGAGUGUUUUCCCAGUUUAGGUUUUCAUGGUUGGUUCUGUUUGCUACUCAGCCAGAAUAAACAGCUCGCUUUUUUAAAAGUAGGCUCCAGAAUGGAUGAUGGGAUGUUCGCAUGUCUUUAUGUAACACUGAGUGCGCUGAACUAAAGAUUUUGACAGCUGGACAAGUGAUGCCUUAUUUAAAGAAACAUGAGAUGAGUGCAGCAUAUUAUCUGAACAGAGAUCAUUCAAUGAGCAAGAAUAAACACUGACAAGAGAAACACUUCACUGUUGAUUAUCAUAUGAAGUCUAAUGAAAGCUGUUAAUCUGUUAAUAUCCUGUUAAU